UACGAAGGGGGCUAGCGUUGUUCGGAUUUACUGGGCGUAAAGCGCACGUAGGCGGAUUGUUAAGUCAGGGGUGAAAUCCUGGAGCUCAACUCCAGAACUGCCCUUGAUACUGGCAAUCUUGAGUCCGGAAGAGGUGAGUGGAACUGCGAGUGUAGAGGUGAAAUUCGUAGAUAUUCGCAAGAACACCAGUGGCGAAGGCGGCUCACUGGCCCGGUACUGACGCUGAGGUGCGAAAAGCGUGGGGGAGCAAACA
rnacentral:rRNA from 1 species